rnacentral:rRNA from 1 species
UACGUAGGGUGCAAGCGUUGUCCGGAAUUAUUGGGCGUAAAGAGCUCGUAGGCGGCUUGUCGCGUCGGAUGUGAAAGCCCGGGGCUUAACUCCGGGUCUGCAUUCGAUACGGGCAGGCUAGAGUUCGGUAGGGGAGAUCGGAAUUCCUGGUGUAGCGGUGGAAAUGACGCAGAUAUCAGGAGGAACACCGGUGGCGAAGGCGGGUCUCUGGGCCGAUAUUGACGCUGAGGAGCGAAAGCGUGGGGAGCGAACAGG